UGGGGAAUAUUGCACAAUGGAGGGAACUCUGAUGCAGCGACGCCGCGAGAACGAAGAAGGCUUUCGAGUCGUAAAGUUCUUUUAUAUGGGAAGAUAAUGACGGUACCAUAAGAAAAAGCCCCGGCUAACUACGUGCCAGCAGCCGCGGUAAUACGUAGGGGGCUAGCGUUGUCCGGAAUCACUGGGCGUAAAGGGUUCGCAGGCGGAAAUGCAAGUCAGGUGUAAAAGGCAGUAGCUUAACUACUGUAAGCAUUUGAAACUGCAUAUCUUGAGAAGAGUAGAGGUAAGUGGAAUUUUUAGUGUAGCGGUGAAAUGCGUAGAUAUUAAAAAGAAUACCGGUGGCGAAGUCGACUUACUGGGCUCAUUCUGACGCUGAGGAACGAAAGCGUGGGUAGCAAACAGG
rnacentral:rRNA from 1 species